rnacentral:rRNA from 1 species
UGGGGAAUAUUGGACAAUGGGGGCAACCCUGAUCCAGCCAUGCCGCGUGAGUGAAGAAGGCCUUAGGGUUGUAAAGCUCUUUCAGAUGCGAAGAUAAUGACGGUAACAUCAGAAGAAGCCCCGGCUAAAUUCGUGCCAGCAGCCGCGGUAAUACGAAUGGGGCAAGCGUUGUUCGGAAUCACUGGGCUUAAAGCGUGCGCAGGCGGAUAAGAAAGUCAGAAGUGAAAUCCCGGGGCUCAACCCCGGAACUGCUUUUGAAACUUCUUAUCUAGAAUCCGGGAGAGGUUAGGAGAAUUCCAAGUGUAGAGGUGAAAUUCGCAGAGAUUUGGAGGAAUAUCAGUGGCGUAGGCGCCUAACUGGACCGGUAUUGACGCUCAGGCACGAAAGCGUGGGGAGCAAACAGGAUUAGAUACCCGUGUAGUCC